GAGUUGCACGCUCUAGACCCGAAGCGGAGUGAUCUAGCCAUGGGCAGGUUGAAGCGGAGGUAAGACUUCGUGGAGGACCGAACCCACCAGGGUUGAAAACCUGGGGGAUGACCUGUGGUUAGGGGUGAAAGGCCAAUCAAACUCCGUGAUAGCUGGUUCUCCCCGAAAUGCAUUUAGGUGCAGCGUCGUGUGUUUCUUGCCGGAGGUAGAGCACUGGAUAGGCGAUGGGCCCUACCGGGUUACUGACCUUAGCCAAACUCCGAAUGCCGGUAAGUGAGAGCACGGCAGUGAGACUGUGGGGGAUAAGCUCCAUGGUCGAGAGGGAAACAGCCCAGAGCAUCGACUAAGGCCCCUAAGCGUACGCUAAGUGGGAAAGGAUGUGGAGUCGCAGAGACAACCAGGAGGUUGGCUUAGAAGCAGCCACCCUUGAAAGAGUGCGUAAUAGCUCACUGGUCAAGUGAUUCCGCGCCGACAAUGUAGCGGGGCUCAAGCGUACCGCCGAAGUCGUGUCAUUGCAGUAAUAGCCCCAACGGGUGCUGUGAUGGGUAGGGGAGCGUCGUGUGCCGGGUGAAGCAGCGCCGGAAGGUAGUUGUGGACGGUUCACGAGUGAGAAUGCAGGCAUGAGUAGCGAUACAAACGUGAGAAACGUUUGCGCCGAUUGACUAAGGGUUCCUGGGUCAAGCUGAUCUGCCCAGGGUAAGUCGGGACCUAAGGCGAGGCCGACAGGCGUAGUCGAUGGACAACCGGUUGAUAUUCCGGUACCCGCUUUGAAACGCCCAAUAUCGAGCCCAUUAAUGCUAAGGCCGUGAAGCCGCCCUGGAUCCUUCGGGUGAAGGGGAGUGGUGGAGCCGCCGGCCCAAGGUGGUAGUAGGUAAGCGAUGGGGUGACGCAGGAAGGUAGUCCAGCCCGGGCGGUGGUAGUCCCGGGGUAAGGGUGUAGG
rnacentral:rRNA from 1 species